AACAAUAGAUUAAGGGGUGAAUUUCCAACUGCAUGUGAGAGCAACCUGGAGAGACUUUGACAGGCCAGGUCAGCAGAGUACCUGCAGCUGCCACUCAACUUUCCUAUAAUG
rnacentral:snoRNA from 1 species